CAGCGGGGUGGGGGCGGAGGCGCACCCCAGGGACCCAGCGGCCCACCACACCCGCAGCGAGGACCGACGACGGGCCGCCCGACAACUCGACCGAGGGCACAAGCGGCGCGGGCCGCACCGCGGCGUCGCGGAGGGACGAGGGGGAAGCCCCAAGCUCCCCCACCACCACCACACCCCAGACACGGACCUCCCCCUCGACGGCCCGGGGCACCGAGCAGUCACGUCGGGACCGGCCGACACGCGCGCGCCCUCGCUCGAGCGGACAGGAGAGGGGUGGCAACGAGGGCCAAGGCCCAAGGCCCAAGGCCCCUCCCCCCCACCCACCCACCCACCCAGGAGCGGCACGGCUAUGACGGCCGGCCCGCAGCGGCUAGCCGGGUCCCGACUCGCGCUCAGGUGAGCUCAGCAGAGCUGGGAGGGAGGGGCACGCGGCGGGGGGGGGGGGGUGGCAGAAGGCCACCCCUCGACCACACGCAACGACGCCGGCGGACAGGCGGGGGCAAGGAAGCGGCGGCGGGCACGGAGCGGGGCCGCAGCGGGCCCAGGAAAGCGAGACGCACCAGGACGCCGGUCCGGGGGUCGGCAGAUGGGGACCAGACAGACGGGAGGUCAGACAGACGAGCGGGAGCGAGGAGGGCGAACGUGGGAGCGGCCGGCAUCGAGAGAGAUGCCACAAAGGGACGGUGGCGGAGGGGGCGGCCGCAGGCCUCCAACGAGGGAGAGGAGAAAGGACCCAGGCACGCCAGGCAAACCAGCACGGGGUCACACCACCACACACACGAGGGCAGUCCCAUGACACCUGGGACACCAGGCGGCCUCAGUCGCCCCAGAGCACUCCACGACCCGGCCCCACCAACCAGGGCCCAUGUGCAAAGGCUUCCCCCCCCUGCCACGUGGGGGGGGUUCGUCCGCCUCAUCUCACCCAUCCGUCCAUCUUUCCACCCUCAUCUCAUCCGUCCUUCACCUAGUCCACCCUCCAGGGCCUGACGCCUGGGGGAAACGCUCCUGAGCGAGGCGGCCCGAACAUGCUCGCUCACCACCUCCACACCACCAGCUGCGACCCCAGGCGAGUGCGGGAAGAACGACGGGCGGCUCGCAGCGGGGGAGGCAGGGGCAGAGGCCGCCGGGGGACGGGGCGCAUCCCCUCCUCCACUUCCCUUCCAAGGGGAGGGGCACCACGCGCCCACGCAGCAACAGCCCGGCGCUGGACGCCAAAACCCGGCCCGGCCCGCGUGACCCUCCCCCAACUCGGAGGG
rnacentral:lncRNA from 1 species